rnacentral:rRNA from 1 species
GACGAACGCUGGCGGCGCGCCUAACACAUGCAAGUCGAACGAGCGAGAGAGAGCUUGCUUUCUCGAGCGAGUGGCGAACGGGUGAGUAACGCGUGAGGAACCUGCCUCAAAGGGGGGGACAACAGUUGGAAACGACUGCUAAUACCGCAUAAUGCAACGAAAUCGCAUGACUUUGUUGCCAAAGAUUUAUCGCUCUGAGAUGGCCUCGCGUCUGAUUAGCUAGUUGGCGGGGUAACGGCCCACCAAGGCGACGAUCAGUAGCCGGACUGAGAGGUUGAACGGCCACAUUGGGACUGAGAUACGGCCCAG